AGCAUGGUAGGUAGCAAUACUUAUUGAUGGCGACCGGCGCACGGGUGAGUAACGCGUAUGCAACUUACCUAUCAGAGGGGGAUAGCCCGGCGAAAGUCGGAUUAAUACUCCAUAAAACAGGGGUCCCGCAUGGGACUAUUUGUUAAAGAUUCAUCGCUGAUAGAUAGGCAUGCGUUCCAUUAGGCAGUUGGCGGGGUAACGGCCCACCAAACCGACGAUGGAUAGGGGUUCUGAGAGGAAGGUCCCCCACAUUGGUACUGAGACACGGACCAAACUCCUACGGGAGGCAGCAGUGAGGAAUAUUGGUCAAUGGCCGAGAGGCUGAACCAGCCAAGUCGCGUGAAGGAUGAAGGAUCUAUGGUUUGUAAACUUCUUUUAUAGGGGAAUAAAGUGUGGGACGUGUCCCAUUUUGUAUGUACCCUAUGAAUAAGCAUCGGCUAACUCCGUGCCAGCAGCCGCGGUAAUACGGAGGAUGCGAGCGUUAUCCGGAUUUAUUGGGUUUAAAGGGUGCGUAGGUGGUAAUUUAAGUCAGCGGUGAAAGUUUGUGGCUCAACCAUAAAAUUGCCGUUGAAACUGGGUUACUUGAGUGUGUUUGAGGUAGGCGGAAUGCGUGGUGUAGCGGUGAAAUGCAUAGAUAUCACGCA
rnacentral:rRNA from 1 species